ACACUGACUGACUCUGACACUGACUGACUCUGACACUGACUGACUGACACUGACUGACACUGACUGACACUGACACUGACUGACUCUGACACUGACUGACACUGACACUGACUGACUGACACACACUGACUGACUGACACUGACUGACACUGACACUGACUGACUGACACACACUGACUGACUGACACUGACUGACACUGACACUGACUGACUGACACACACUGACUGACUGACACACACUGACUGACUGACACUGACUGACACUGACACUGACUGACUGACACACACUGACUGACUGACACUGACUGACACUGACUGACUGACACACACUGACUGACACAGAUAGAGAAUGACUGGCACACUGACGCUGACUGAACACACUACUGUGAUAUGUGCCGAAUGUCACUACAUGUUUAUUUGCACACAAUCGCACAGUGAACACAUAACUGAUAUACACUACUUUAUGAAUACACUGCUGCCAGCCAGAUCCACACAAACCCUGAUUAUAAUUAUUCACAUUUAUAUAGCGCCAACAUAUUCCACAGAUUUACAAUUACAGACAAGUAAUAGACAAAUAUAACAGGGACUAGAGGUGUAGAAGACCCUGAUCAAAUGAGCUUACAAUCUAUGGGAUCUGCACAGUGCUUCGAAUCAUUCAGAAGGAUAUUGUAAUAUUUACUAAGUUGCUGAGAUGAAGAAAGG